rnacentral:rRNA from 1 species
UGGGGAAUCUUGCACAAUGGGCGAAAGCCUGAUGCAGCGACGCCGCGUGCGGGAUGAAGGCCUUCGGGUUGUAAACCGCUUUCAGCAGGGACGAGGCCGCAAGGUGACGGUACCUGCAGAAGAAGCCCCGGCUAACUACGUGCCAGCAGCCGCGGUAAUACGUAGGUCCCGAGCGUUGUCCGGAUUUAUUGGGCGUAAAGCGAGCGCAGGCGGCUAGCAAAGUCAGAAGUGAAAGGAAGUGGCUCAACCAUUGUAGGCUUUGGAAACUGUUUAACUUGAGUGCAGAAGGGGAGAGUGAAAUUCCAUGUGUAGCGGUGAAAUGCGUAGAUAUAUGGAGGAACACCGGUGGCGAAAGCGGCUCUUGGGACUAUAACUGACGCUGAGGCGCGAAAGCGUGGGGAGCGAACAGG